CAGCAGCCGCGGGAAUACGAAGGGGGCUAGCGUUGUUCGGAAUUACUGGGCGUAAAGCGCACGUAGGCGGACAUUUAAGUCAGGGGUGAAAUCCCGGGGCUCAACCCCGGAACUGCCUUUGAUACUGGGUGUCUAGAGUAUGGAAGAGGUGAGUGGAAUUCCGAGUGUAGAGGUGAAAUUCGUAGAUAUUCAGAGGAACACCAGUGGCGAAGGCGGCUCACUGGUCCAUUACUGACGCUGAGGUGCGAAAGCGUGGGGAGCAAACAGGAUUAGAUACCCCCGUAGUCCCUGUCUCUUAUAC
rnacentral:rRNA from 1 species